AGAGUUUGAUCCUGGCUCAGAUUGAACGCUGGCGGCAUGCUUUACACAUGCAAGUCGAACGGCAGCACGGGGGCAACCCUGGUGGCGAGUGGCGAACGGGUGAGUAAUGCAUCGGAACGUAUCCUUGAGUGGGGGAUAACGCAGCGAAAGUUGUGCUAAUACCGCAUAAGCUCUGAGGAGGAAAGCGGGGGACCGAAAGACCUCGCGCCGGUGGAUGAGCCGAAGCCGGAUUAGCUAGUUGGUAGGGUAAUGGCCUACCAAGGCGACGAUCCGUAGCUGGUCUGAGAGGACGACCAGCCACACUGGGACUGAGACACGGCCCAGACUCCUACGGGAGGCGAC
rnacentral:rRNA from 1 species